rnacentral:pre_miRNA from 1 species
CCUUAUCAUUCGACUGUCCAGAUUAUAUUCGUAUUUCUGGACGGAGAACUGAUAAGGGC